CAGCCACCUGUUUCUUCAUUUAGGUUGCUUCCACGUUGGUUGCUUUUGGCUAUUAUAUAUAGUGGUGCUAUGAAUAGUGGGGUGCAGGUACCUUUUUGCAUUGGAGUUUCCUCUGAAUAUAUACCCAGAAGUGGGAUUGCUGGAUCAUAAGCAGCGGAAGGUGUUGAGAACAACUUCAGAAAAGCUCAGAAACUGCUCAUUUUUCUCUACAAACGUUGUCUACACCACCCCUGGGACAUGCGUCAGCAGGUACAACGGCACCUUCUGGAAGCCCGCCAGAUGGAGCUGGAGAUGGCAGACCUGCACGUCUCCACCCUGAAGUACAAGCAGGCUGAGCGAGAAAGAGGUGUGACCGUCCUGCUCCUCCUGGAGUUCUACGUCUGCUUCCUGGUGUCCUGUGUCUGUACCUGCUCAUCACCUGGUCCAGGUACCCUCUUGAUUGAAGUUGAGGAAAAAAUGCUGUUUGAAUAAACAGCCACAGGCCAGCUCUUUGAUUUCACAGAC